UUUCUUUGGGUGCUUUUCGGUUCUCUCUCUCCCCAUCAUCAGCUUUUCCUUAUUUUGUUUGACUCCUGCUCUCCCCGUCUCCCUCCUCGCCUCACUCUUCUCUGCACCAAGCAGCUCGAUUUAGGGCUUCACCAUUUCUCUUCGAAUCAAGGUCUCUAUUUCUCUCCCUAUUUUCCGAAUCUAGGUUUCCUAUCUGUCUGUGGAAAACCCUAGAUCUCGCCACUGCCGGAGAGUCCAAGCUCGGCCCUUCGAGCUUCAAUCUGCCUUGCAGAUCGGCUCCUCUCGGCGCCUCCACCUAAACCCCUCUGCAGAAGGAAGCUAGGAGGUGCAGCAACUGGAAGUCGGAUUUCACUCCUGUCAUUGCAAUUAGAUCAGGUUCUGGCUGAUUUGAUCUGAGCAUGCACAUGACUCCGUUUGAAGCAUCACCAGGAACUAGAAAAUUAAACACUUACAACACAGCUGUUAAAGACGUUAAAGUAUUUCAAUUUGGCUAUUGGCAAAUAUGUUUGGUGUUUUAUGGCGAGAGAUGGUUGGUUUCUGCUUCUAAUUAUGUUAGCAGGAGGUACAUGAGUGAUCACUGCGACAGUUGGUGGACCUCAACAAGAGCAUAUCCAGGAGCUUAUUCGUUAUCUGCAAUUUGGACUCUGAUGGCUGGCUCUUGGUGUAGCAUCAUCUAUUGGUCUUGCAUAUCCAGGAGCUUAUUCGUUAUCUGUAAUUUGGACUCUGAUGGCUGGCUCUUGGUGUAGCAUCAUCUAUUGGUCUUGCAUAUCCAGGAGCUUAUUCGUUAUCUGCAAUUUGGACUCUGAUGGCUGGCUCUUGGUGUAGCAUCAUCUAUUGGUCUUGGUUGUGAUACACUCAUAAAAAGCAUACGAUUUCUUCAGAAAAUUGGCAAUUGACUCAUCAGGAAAUGCAGAGAGAAGACGUUCCCAGUAAGUUUAGCAGAAAUACCAAAGGAAAUGAGGCAAUCCAAAUCAAUGGCAUACAGAGUGUUCGGAACUCAACGAAAAAUGAGAAAGGAGCUGUAGUUGAUUAGAAAGAGCAACAGUGUUUCAACAAAAAUUCUCCCCAAUGCUGAUUUGCUUACGGCGGUGUUUAAGGUAAAUUUUGCUCCCUUCCAGAAUAAUUUUCAAUGAAUUAUGUCUUCUGAGUAGUAUUGAAGCCGGACAUUGUAUCUUUGAGAAAGUUUAUGUAUAGUUUCUGCAAAAGUUUAGUUUGGAAGUAGUAUAUAUCUGUAUGUGGAGUUUUGCUUUUUUCCACUGUGAAAUCAAACCCCUCUAUCCAGUCUCUUACAUUCUUGAUAUGCUCAUCCCCCGAAAUCUUCCUUUCUCAUCUAAAGGCAGAUCAGAGAAUUCAACAUUCUCAGUGGUCAAAUUUUUUACCCAAGGUGGGUCUCGAGUCAAUCAGCGGUAUGCCUUCAGCUUUGAAUGAGAGCUUUGGCAUGUACUCGGGAUCUAGGGGAUAGUUGGUUCAACCUCUCCCGUGGUAGGUAAACUUAAUUUGGAAGGAAAGCAACUCAAUGCUUUUUUUUUUUUUUUGUAAGAAUGCUACUAGAUGAAUGGCAGAUUUAUCAUAUGAGCGUCAUUGAAGUUUUAUCUUGAAUCUGAACAAGUUUUUGUCAAUUGUUAUUUUCAAAGGUUGUGACAGUUUGUGCUGGCCUUGCAGAAAUUUUUGUGAUCAUAAAAUUGUCAUGUGAUAUUACUAUUGUCAAUGUUAUGCAAGGAAUAAAGUUUGUAGAAGGUUGCUGAUCUACCUAUGCUGCCACCAAAAUAAUGUACCUAAAAGCUGCCAAUUGGAUUUGUUCUUCAGAUGAUAAUGGCAUACCUAUAUAAUGGUUGUUCUUUUGCUUUGAUGUAGAAGUAAGAAAAUUGCUUUGCCCCUUAUCUAUCCCGCUUCUUUCUGUCCGUGUGUUCUUUGUUCAAAGGUUGGUUGGUUGUUAAACUUGAUGUUGUAGAAGAGUUAAUGUCUGGUAGGCAAAUGAUUAUGGUGUUGUUCCUAUUAUGCAUAAGGUCGUGGUAAUAAUAUUGUGAGAUUUUGUGUCUGCAUAAAUCCAGUAGUGGUUUUGAUAAUCAGAAAGUAAUCUCUCAACUUCUUUGUGAUUAUAGUUGCUUUGAUACUGUCAUAGGGACUUUUGUCAUACUUACAAAUUGAUUUUGAUAUAUCCCUUCGUAGGUUUAAAAUUUUUGUCAAACCCAAAAGUUACCUUGCUGGGCAUAUUUAAAAAGUAGUUUAAUUAAUCAAUAUUACUAUGGUAGUUUUAAAGUAUAUGUUAAUUGGAAUUAAUCCUUUUGGUUUUAUUUUUAAAACUACAUAUCUGUGGUAAGGAGGGAUACCUAUUGAAGUUUUGAAUUUCCAGUACUCAGGUGCUUAAAGAUUUGAAUUUUUAAAGUGGUUCCACAAAACCUGCAAAGUGGUUCCACAAAAAUCUUCAAAGUGGACGUUAUGUUGCUUGCAGCAAUAGAUUGUUUAGGGUUUAGUUGAAAAAGAUAUACAAAAAAAACUAGGUAAUGAGGCAUUGAAUUGGGUUUGAGAGUUUUGAUAUUAUGAGAGAGGUAAGGAGUACAUAGGGAGAGAGGGAGGUAGGUGAUUUGCAGAAAUGGAGGGUGAGAGAAAAACGGGAGAAAAGGGGUAGUACAUUAUAUUUUGAUUUUAUAAUUUUGGGGGUUUUGUGUUUAAACUUUUUUAGUACUUUUUUUUAGAUAUAGCCUACAAAUGUUGACCCAGAGGUUGGACAUAAUCAUUACUUCUUAUUACAAUUAUUAAAAUUAAUUAUAUUAACUAAAUUUGAUUUGAAUGUUUUGAUGAUGGUAACCACUAACAACAAAACAACGAUCUCCUUAAUCUAGGAGAAAGAGCCGAAAGGUGAGGAAGAAAAGAAGGGAAAGCAGGAAAGAGAGCUCUGCACAUGCAAAUUGAUGUUUGAUGUUCUUCUUCAAGUGCUUCUUGGGGAUGUUGGAGCUGGGAAAUCAAGUCUGGUGUUGUGCUUUGUAAAAGGACAAUUCGUUGAAUUUCAGGUGCUGAUGUGGGUUUUCUCGCCAUCAUAAAGCUUUGCCAAUCCAAAAUCUGAUAUUUUUGGGGGGAGUUCUGCAUGAAGCAAAAUAUUAAUGGCUUUGACAUCUCGAUAUAGAAUCCUUGGCCUUGACUCCUCAUGGAGGUAAGCAAGUUCUCUUGCUGUUCCCAACAAUAUAUUGAAUCAAGUAGGCCAACCAAGGUGCAAGUUACUUGUCUCUGAAAUAUUAGUGAACACGUCCAAUCAAAAUCAAGGCUCAUUUUAUAGACCCAAAAAGGCAUUUUCUUCUUUAUUAUGCAACUGGACCAUCAACAUCAAGGCUCAAUUUAUAGACCCAAAAAGGCGUUAUUAAAUUAUCUGAAUUCCCUGAACACAUUCUUAAUUUUUAGUGGUGGGAUCUCCAUCAAGUGGUGGUGGUUCAUGAACAUAUCUAUAAACAUUGUGUAUGAAUAAGUAGGAUAUACAUCCAUCUGCUAAGGUAUAUUCAAAUCUGGCAUGCCAGUCCCUGCCCACUACCAAAAGCCAAAGCUAAAUUACAAUUACAAUUAAUUAUUAAAAUGUGUAUUAUAUAAAAGGAAAGGGUCCAAAACAAGUACAAGGGUGCACAAAGGGGUAAAAAGAACAUGCGAAAAUCAUUUCCCGAUAUUUAUCACCUUCCUUCUCCUCUAAUGCUAGCGAGCAGUGAUUGAGUGACGUUUACAGAAGGUGUAGGGUCAAUCCAGGGAGUGUUAGCACCAUUUGCAUUGCUGCCUCCCGACUAAUAGUUGAGGCGAACAUUACUACCCUUGGAUGAAGUUGAUGGGGUAUCAUCCUCCACCAAAAAUCUACUUGUUAACGAUGUUGUUACAUCUUUAAAAUCAUAAUCUGUCAAAUAGCUUGGCUUCGACAUGACAGUGCUUAUGUCAAUGUCUCCAGAGAGCAUUGCAACCACACGUGACAUAGAUGGCCGUGCCAUCGGUGAUCCCUGCGUGCACAGGAGAGCUGCUCUUAUCAAUCUAGUUGCUUCAGUUUCAUCGAACUCUAUUAAUCUCGGAUCCAUCAGCCCCAGAGUUUGGUCGUUUUCAUGUAGAGUCCAUACCUGAAAAACAUUAUGCCACUGUCAAAGGAAAGUAUAAAUAAGUUUUUCACAACAAUGCCUAAAUGAAGCUAGGCGAAUGCAAUUCCUACCCAUUCAAGAAGAUAAAUCUUUUCUGGAUCCAAGUUAUUGUAAGAGUUUGGUCUCCCGCUGAGGAUCUCUAAAACGACGACUCCAAAACCAAACACAUCGGCCUUCUCUGUCAAAUGUCCAAACAAUGCAUACUCCGGUGCCAAAUAGCCUCUGCAAUGCAAGAUAAUCAAAUGGUUGCACAAUGUUACUUAAGAUCAUUAGAGGCAUUAUUAACAUGUGUGAAAAUUUCAUGCAAGUAUAAAUGUGUGUGGCCAUAAUGUAUGUAUCCUCUGGAAAAACAAUAAAGGAUGAUUUACAUUGUCCCUGCAACUCGGGUGCUGAUGUGGGUUUUCUUGUCAUCAUAAAGCUUUGCCAGUCCAAAAUCUGAUAUUUUUGGGGAAAGUUCUGCAUCGAGCAAAAUAUUACUCGCUUUGACAUCUCGAUGUACAAUCCUUGGCCUUGACUCCUCAUGAAGGUAAGCAAGUCCUCUUGCUGUUCCCAACAAUAUAUUGAAUCGAGUAGGCCAGUCAAGGUGCAAGUUACUUGUUCC